GAGAGCACAGGACGAUGAAAGUUGUAAGCUGUGUUCGGGGGGGAGUUAUUGUCUAUCGUUGGCCUCUAUGGUAGAACCCGUCGGGGAGGCCUGAGAGGCGGUGGUUUACCCUGU
rnacentral:ncRNA from 1 species